AGCUUGCUACCUGACCUAGCGGCGGACGGGUGAGUAAUGCUUAGGAAUCUGCCUAUUAGUGGGGGACAACAUUCCGAAAGGAAUGCUAAUACCGCAUACGCCCUACGGGGGAAAGCAGGGGAUCUUCGGACCUUGCGCUAAUAGAUGAGCCUAAGUCAGAUUAGCUAGUUGGUGGGGUAAAGGCCUACCAAGGCGACGAUCUGUAGCGGGUCUGAGAGGAUGAUCCGCCACACUGGGACUGAGACACGGCCCAGACUCCUACGGGAGGCAGCAGUGGGGAAUAUUGGACAAUGGGCGAAAGCCUGAUCCAGCCAUGCCGCGUGUGUGAAGAAGGCCUUUUGGUUGUAAAGCACUUUAAGCGAGGAGGAGGCUACUUGGAUUAAUACUCUAGGAUAGUGGACGUUACUCGCAGAAUAAGCACCGGCUAACUCUGUGCCAGCAGCCGCGGUAAUACAGAGGGUGCGAGCGUUAAUCGGAUUUACUGGGCGUAAAGCGUGCGUAGGCGGCUUCUUAAGUCGGAUGUGAAAUCCCUGAGCUUAACUUAGGAAUUGCAUUCGAUACUGGGAAGCUAGAGUAUGGGAGAGGAUGGUAGAAUUCCAGGUGUAGCGGUGAAAUGCGUAGAGAUCUGGAGGAAUACCGAUGGCGAAGGCAGCCAUCUGGCCUAAUACUGACGCUGAGGUACGAAAGCAUGGGGAGCAAACAGGAUUAGAUACCCUGGUAGUCCAUGCCGUAAACGAUGUCUACUAGCCGUUGGGGCCUUUGAGGCUUUAGUGGCGCAGCUAACGCGAUAAGUAGACCGCCUGGGGAGUACGGUCGCAAGACUAAAACUCAAAUGAAUUGACGGGGGCCCGCACAAGCGGUGGAGCAUGUGGUUUAAUUCGAUGCAACGCGAAGAACCUUACCUGGUCUUGACAUAGUAAGAACUUUCCAGAGAUGGAUUGGUGCCUUCGGGAACUUACAUACAGGUGCUGCAUGGCUGUCGUCAGCUCGUGUCGUGAGAUGUUGGGUUAAGUCCCGCAACGAGCGCAACCCUUUUCCUUAUUUGCCAGCGAGUAAUGUCGGGAACUUUAAGGAUACUGCCAGUGACAAACUGGAGGAAGGCGGGGACGACGUCAAGUCAUCAUGGCCCUUACGACCAGGGCUACACACGUGCUACAAUGGUCGGUACAAAGGGUUGCUACCUAGCGAUAGGAUGCUAAUCUCAAAAAGCCGAUCGUAGUCCGGAUUGGAGUCUGCAACUCGAC
rnacentral:rRNA from 1 species